UCCGGCGGGCGUGGGGGCCGGUGAGCGGCCGUGGCUCCGGUUCUCAGCUCCGGUUCCCGGCUCCGGUUCUCAGCUCCGGUUCCCGGCUCCAGGAGCGGAGCCUCCGCUGUCCCCAGGCCGUGCUCUAACGCGUGGGGCUGUGCCCUGAGCAUCCCCCCGGGGCUGAGCCAGCCUCACCCGGGCGGUGCCGCAGGAGGGGGGACCCGAGGAGCUCCCCGAGCUGAGGCUCUCCCGUCCCUGCCCGCAGCUCCGCUCUGUCGGCGCUUCGAGACUGAGGCCGACACACGGGGGUGUGCGGCUCCCCUGAUGCCAUAAGGAACACCAGAGUGGAAAGCUGCUGGGGACUGCUCCCAGGCAGUCUGUGGGUCUGCUCUUCUGCAGCUCCAUGGGGCCUGAGGCCUUCCUCGAGCACAGCCUCCAAGGAAUCCCUUGGAGAGCUACAGGUUACCUGCAGAGCCCCAGCAAGGACAGAAGACCUCACACAGCUCCUAUUGCAGCAGCAUCUGCACACUAUGGCCCUGCCAGAAGCAUUCCUCCCACGAUGGAAGCCUCUAUCCAAAAGGAUGCCAGCAAAUGGAAGCCUGUAUCCAAAGGGAUACAGAAUUCCCUUUCCCGGCUCUCAGGACCCUGCGGAGCACUGCUGACAGGGACUGGCUUGACUGGUUUGCAGAAACCUCAUGGACUCACUCUGCACUCUUGGAAACUUCCUUUCUGCAUUAAACGUUAGAAGAUGCUUC